rnacentral:rRNA from 2 species
GUAGACUUCUUCGGAAGGACACUAAGCGGAUUAGUGGCGAACGGGUGAGUAACGCGUGAGUAACCUGCCUUACACAAGGGGAUAGCCUUUGGAAACGAAGAAUAAUACCCUAUAAAACCAUAAAAGCACACGCUAGAAUGGUCAAAGUGAUAGCGGUGUAAGAUGGACUUGCGUCUGAUUAGCUAGUUGGUGAGAUAAAAGCUCACCAAGGCAACGAUCAGUAGCCGGCUUGAGAGAGUGUACGGCCACAUUGGGACUGAGACACGGCCCAGACUCCUACGGGAGGCAGCAGUGGGGAAUUUUGCACAAUGGGGGAAACCCUGAUGCAGCGACGCCGCGUGAUUUAGAAGGCCUUCGGGUUGUAAAAAUCUUUUGUAUAGGAAGAAAAUGACAGUACUAUACGAAUAAGGUCCGGCUAAUUACGUGCCAGCAGCCGCGGUAAUACGUAAGGACCGAGCGUUGUCCGGAAUCAUUGGGCGUAAAGGGUACGUAGGCGGCUAGAAAAGUUAGAAGUCAAAGGCUAUAGCUCAACUAUAGUAAGCUUCUAAAACUAUUUAGCUUGAGAAAUGGAAGGGAAAGUGGACUUCCUAGUGUAGCGGUGGAAUGCGCAGAUAUUAGGAAGAAUAUCGGUGGCGAAGGCGACUUUCUGGCCAUUAUCUGA